ACCGCCUCCACGUACUCUUCCUUGAUGGCGUGCAGCAAUGCAUCCUUGACUUUGAUCUCGGAGUUGAGGAAUAGCUUGAUCAGCUCGAUAUUCUAAUUUUC